rnacentral:rRNA from 1 species
AUUGAACGCUGGCGGCAGGCCUAACACAUGCAAGUCGAACGAGUGGCGGACGGGUGAGUAAUGAAUCGGCACCUUCCUGAUGGAGGGCGAUCACUACUGGACACGGUAACUACUUCCGCAUACCAUAGGCUUUGCCCAGAUGGGAUUAGGUAGUAGGUGGGGUAAAGGCUCACCUAGGCGACGAUCCCUAGCUGGUCUGAGAGGAUGACCAGCCACACUGGAACUGAGACACGGUCCAGACUCCUACGGGAGGCAGCAGUGGGGAAUAUUGGACAAUGGGCGAAAGCCUGAUGCAGCCAUGCCGCGUGUAUGAAGAAGGCCUUCGGGUUGUAAAGUACUUUCAGUGGGGAGGCGUUACCCGCAGAAGAAGCACCGGCUAACUCCGUGCCAGCAGCCGCGGUAAUUC